rnacentral:rRNA from 1 species
AUGAACGCUGGCGGCGUGCCUAAUACAUGCAAGUCGAGCGAACAGAUGAGGAGCUUGCUCCUCUGACGUUAGCGGCGGACGGGUGAGUAACACGUGGAUAACCUACCUAUAAGACUGGGAUACUUCGGGAAACCGGAGCUAAUACCGGAUAAUAUAUUGAACCGCAUGGUUCAAUAGUGAAAGACGGUUUUGCUGUCACUUAUAGAUGGAUCCGCGCCGCAUUAGCUAGUUGGUAAGGUAACGGCUUACCAAGGCAACGAUGCGUAGCCGACCUGAGAGGGUGAUCGGCCACACUGGAACUGAGACACGGUCCAGACUCCUACGGGAGGCGGCAGUAGGGAAUCUUCCGCAAAGGGCGAAAGCCUGACGGAGCAACGCCGCGUGAGUGAUGAAGGUCUUCGGAUCGUAAAACUCUGUUAUUAGGGAAGAACAAAUGUGUAAGUAACUAUGCACGUCUUGACGGUACCUAAUCAGAAAGCCACGGCUAACUACGUG